UACGUAGGCAGCAAGCGUUGUUCGGAAUUACUGGGCGUAAAGAGUGUGUAGGCGGUUCUCUAUGUUCGGUGUGAAAUCUCCCGGCUUAACUGGGAGGGUGCGCCGAAAACUGGAGGGCUUGAGUAUGGGAGAGGAAAGCGGAAUUCCUGGUGUAGCGGUGAAAUGCGUAGAUAUCAGGAGGAACACCGGUGGCGAAGGCGGGUCUCUGGGCAGUAACUGACGCUGAGGAGCGAAAGCGUGGGGAGCGAACAGG
rnacentral:rRNA from 1 species